rnacentral:rRNA from 1 species
UACGUAGGGUGCGAGCGUUAAUCGGAAUUACUGGGCGUAAAGUGUGCGCAGGCGGCAGAGCAAGUCGAGUGUGAAAGCCCCGGGCUUAACUUGGGAAUUGCGCUCGAAACUACUUUGCUGGAGUGUGGCAGAGGAAGGUGGAAUUCCACGUGUAGCGGUGAAAUGCGUAGAGAUGUGGAGGAACACCAAUGGCGAAGGCAGCCUUCUGGGCCAACACUGACGCUCAUGCACGAAAGCGUGGGGAGCAAACAGG